UACGUAGGGUGCGAGCGUUAAUCGGAAUUACUGGGCGUAAAGCGUGCGCAGGCGGCGCGUUAAGACAGGUGUGAAAGCCCCGAGCUUAACUUGGGAAUUGCGCUUGUGACUGGCGUGCUGGAGUGUGGCAGAGGGAGGUGGAAUUCCACGUGUAGCAGUGAAAUGCGUAGAGAUGUGGAGGAACACCGGUGGCGAAGGCGGUGGUCUGGGCCGGCACUGACGCUGAGGAGCGAAAGCGUGGGGAGCGAACAGG
rnacentral:rRNA from 1 species